GUGGGGAAUCUUAGACAAUGGGCGCAAGCCUGAUCUAGCCAUGCCGCGUGAGCGAUGAAGGCCUUAGGGUUGUAAAGCUCUUUCAGGGGGGAAGAUAAUGACGGUACCCCCAGAAGAAGCCCCGGCUAACUCCGUGCCAGCAGCCGCGGUAAUACGGAGGGGGCUAGCGUUGUUCGGAUUUACUGGGCGUAAAGCGCACGUAGGCGGAUUGGUCAGUUAGAGGUGAAAUCCCGAAGCUCAACUUCGGAACUGCCUUUAAUACUGCCAGUCUCGAGUCCGGAAGAGGUGAGUGGAACUCCUAGUGUAGAGGUGGAAUUCGUAGAUAUUAGGAAGAACACCAGUGGCGAAGGCGGCUCACUGGUCCGGUACUGACGCUGAGGUGCGAAAGCGUGGGGAGCAAACAGGAUUAGAAACCCGUGUAGUCC
rnacentral:rRNA from 1 species